AACGAACGCUGACGGCAUGCCUAACACAUGCAAGUCGAACGAGACCUUCGGGUCUAGUGGCGCACGGGUGCGUAACGCGUGGGAACCUGCCUUUAGGUUCGGAAUAACUCAGAGAAAUUUGAGCUAAUACCGGAUAAUGUCUUCGGACCAAAGAUUUAUCGCCUUUAGAUGGGCCCGCGUAAGAUUAGCUAGUUGGUGGGGUAAAGGCCUACCAAGGCGACGAUCUUUAGCUGGUCUGAGAGGAUGAUCAGCCACACUGGGACUGAGACACGGCCCAGACUCCUACGGGAGGCAGCAGUGGGGAAUAUUGGACAAUGGGCGAAAGCCUGAUCCAGCAAUGCCGCGUGAGUGAUGAAGGCCUUAGGGGUUGUAAAAGCUCUUUUACCCGAGAUGAUAAUGACAGUAUCGGGAGAAUAAGCUCCGGCUAACUCCGUGCCAGCAGCCG
rnacentral:rRNA from 1 species